rnacentral:lncRNA from 1 species
AGGAGGGUCUCCAAAGAGAGAAGGACUGCACUUUUUGCCCGGCAGGUUUUUACUGUUUGGAGGGGAGCACUCGGAGACCCAGCACCCAGUUUCUGUGCCCAGUAGGGUUUUAUUGCGAGGAGGGCACUGCUGUACCUCAUGGGUCACCUUGCCCUGCUGGAACAGCGGGAGGACAAAUGGGCCAGACAAGUAGGGCAGCCUGCAAGAGGUGUGUGGAAGGCCGAUAUUGCCCCCCAGGUUCUGUUGGUCAGGGCUUGCCCUGUGCCCGAGGAAAGUUCUGCCCAGCUGGCACUCUGACGGAGAUUUUAUGCCCCCAGGGCACUUUCACAGCCCAUGAAGGAGCCCAAAGUAAAGGAUAUGUUCCGAUUCAUGUCUGCAUUUAUUUUGCAUCAAUCAUUUAUUUGCCACUUCUCUCCUCCACAGGCAUCAAGGACUGCCUCAAAUGCCCAGUAGGAUUCUACUGCCCUGAGGGCACCAGUAACCCUGUGCCCUGUCCAGCAGGGACUUUUAACCCUUUAGAAGGGCAGUACUCUUCCUCAGACUGCAGAACAUGUUAUCCUGGCAAGGCAUGCACCCAUGUGGCACUGAAGUCUCCAGAUGUGGAUUGCAUGCCAGGAUAUGUCUGCCCUCCAGGCUCAGACAGACCAAAUGCUCCUGAAAAUGCCUGCCCUCCAGGAACCCUAAGCAACCGAACAGAUCUCACUGACCCCUCCCAGUGCCAGCAGUGCCCAGUUCGCUACGCCUGCCUACGAGGUACGGGCGGCAUUCAGAGGCCUCCUCUCUCCUGCUUCCCUGGCCAUUACUGCCCAGCAGGCACCAUGUUCCCCACGCAGCACAGUUGUCCACCUGGCACAUGGAGUGAACGGAGUGGUCUGGAGGCGGAAAGUGAAUGUCAACUAUGUCCCAAAGGCUGGUACUGUCUGGCUGGAGCAGGUGCCCCAUCGGGGCGGUGCAGCUCUGGACAUUACUGCCCUGAAGGUAAAUUUACAGAUGGACCUAUUAGUGCUGAAGUUUAUGUAUGUGGACACAUUUUUAUUAACUGA